CGCGUAGGUGGUUUGUUAAGUUGGAUGUGAAAGCCCCGGGCUCAACCUGGGAACUGCAUCCAAAACUGGCAAGCUAGAGUACGGUAGAGGGUGGUGGAAUUUCCUGUGUAGCGGUGAAAUGCGUAGAUAUCAGGAGGAACACCGAUGGCGAAGGCAGCUUUCUGGACCGAUACUGACGCUGAGGCGCGAAGGUGUGGGUAGCGAAC
rnacentral:rRNA from 1 species